UUGUAAAACAGUGUGAAUUUAUACUGAGUAAAAAGGAGAUAGAACUAGCACAAGUUGAUCCUUGUGCAGUAGUUUAUGUUAUGGGCACUAAUCCUGUACACAACACUCACUUGUAAUGUUAUCAGUUAUUAAUGGGUACAACAAUGUGGAAAUGUAGCAACUGUAAAAGAAUUGUAGAACACAAUGCAGAUCACACACCAGUAGGAGUACAACAACAUAGGAAGUUAUGGUAAUAAUUUCAUUGCCACAGUUCUUGCUUUUAUGCUAUAAAACACUCCCAGAUGCUCCCUAUGGUUACACAUACUACAGAGGUUUCAUGCAGGACCUUAUAGAUACGUCAUAUUAAAGUACUUUUAAAGUUAAAUUGGUUACUUUUUACAAUUAACACUGUCUAUUUUUCUUUAUUUCCUCCAGACCCCAUCCACUUAAGGACUCUGGGUAUCCACUGGUAAGGAGUCUACACUUUUCACUUCUCUCUCCACACUUUGUUAGUUAAAAUGCCAGCAUAAAUGUAUAUCCAAAUGUGUAUAACCAUUUGCCUGUUCUAACUGUUGUGUUGUGUUGAUUGUAAUGCUUUCUUUUUUCCUACCUUUUUUCCUGCUACUCUACAUAGCUGCAGAAAUACAUAAGCUACAAGAUGUUUAACAUAGUCCUCAUGUGAUCAAGCUAACAGCAUGGAGCAAGGGAGAACAUCCAUCUGUAGAUACUUUGUGACAGAAACGCCAAUAGGUCCCAUCGCUGUUUGUAAUAUAUGCAAGGUUAACGUUCCGAGGGGUGGCGGUAAAACGUCGAAUUACAACACUACAAAUUUAAUAAAGCAUCUACAGGGAUUUCAUCCAAACGAGCAUGCAAAGUUCAACGAGCAGAACAAACAAAGCAAGACGGAACGAAGCAACUAACUUGAAUAGCACCUACUUCACGAUUGCAAGCCUGUUGGAACAGAGGCAUAGGCACACAGAGUCCUGUGUGCCUAUGCUGCUGACCAUAACCUACCCAAAACUCUCACAGCUAACCAGUGGGCCUUGUUUGAAAAAACAAAGAUCUGUCUCGAACCGUUUGAGGAGUUUACUAGGAAGGUGAGCUCAGCCACUGCAUCUGCUGCUGAUGUUAUCCCAAGUGUCACUGUUCUUAAACGAGUCCUCUCCAUGGAAACCGAGACUGGUGCUGGGAUUAAAACUAUCAAAAAAACCCUCCUAGAAGCCAUCGACAAACGCUUCAGCACAGUCGAAAAUGAACUUCUGUAUACACUUUCAUCUCUGCUGGACCCAAGAUACAAAGACAGAUCAACACAUUAGCACUGAGAGGGGGUACCAAUGUCAAAGAGAGUGUUUGGAGGAUAAUGUGCCAUGUCAUGACAAAUCCCCUUGCACUUGAAAAAUCAAUUGGAGAGGAAUCAGUGGGAAGGCUGCAUUCCACCGAAUGGUGUUAAAGGAUGUUAUAACAAGUGGUUGCAUCUUGCCUCUGACCGUGAUGGAGGGAGGAAAGCUCAUGAGGGUUGAGCUGGUGUUGCUGCACACAGUCACCAAAUUUGACGCAUGUUAUGCU